rnacentral:rRNA from 1 species
UGGGGAAUUUUGGACAAUGGGCGAAAGCCUGAUCCAGCAAUGCCGCGUGUGUGAAGAAGGCCUUCGGGUUGUAAAGCACUUUUGUCCGGAAAGAAAUCCUUGGCUCUAAUACAGUCGGGGGAUGACGGUACCGGAAGAAUAAGCACCGGCUAACUACGUGCCAGCAGCCGCGGUAAUACGUAGGGUGCAAGCGUUAAUCGGAAUUACUGGGCGUAAAGCGUGCGCAGGCGGUUUGCUAAGACCGAUGUGAAAUCCCCGGGCUCAACCUGGGAACUGCAUUGGUGACUGGCAGGCUAGAGUAUGGCAGAGGGGGGUAGAAUUCCACGUGUAGCAGUGAAAUGCGUAGAGAUGUGGAGGAAUACCGAUGGCGAAGGCAGCCCCCUGGGCCAAUACUGACGCUCAUGCACGAAAGCGUGGGGAGCAAACAGGAUUAGAUACCCUGGUAGUCCACGCCCUAAACGAUGUCAACUAGUUGUUGGGGAUUCAUUUCCUUAGUAACGUAGCUAACGCGUGAAGUUGACCGCCUGGGGAGUACGGUCGCAAGAUUAAAACUCAAA